rnacentral:rRNA from 1 species
AGCGAACGCUGGCGGCAGGCCUAACACAUGCAAGCCGAACGAGACCUUCGGGUCUAGUGGCGGACGGGUGAGUAACACGUGGGAACGUGCCUUUAGGUUCGGAAUAACUCAGGGAAACUUGUGCUAAUACCGAAUGUGCCCUUCGGGGGAAAGAUUUAUCGCCUUUAGAGCGGCCCGCGUCUGAUUAGCUAGUUGGUGAGGUAAUGGAUCACCAAGGCUACGAUCAGUAGCUGGUCUGAGAGGAUGGCCAGCCACAUUGGGACUGAGACACGGCCCAAACGCCUACGGGAGGCAGCAGUGGGGAAUCUUGCGCAAUGGGCGAAAGCCUGACGCAGCCAUGCCGCGUGAAUGAUGAAGGUCUUAGGAUUGUAAAAUUCUUUCACCGGGGACGAUAAUGACGGUACCCGGAGAAGAAGCCCCGGCUAACUUCGUGCCAGCCGCCGCCGUAAUAC